rnacentral:rRNA from 1 species
UACGUAGGGUGCGAGCGUUAAUCGGAAUUACUGGGCGUAAAGCGUGCGCAGGCGGCGCCGCAAGUCAGGCGUGAAAUCCCCGAGCUUAACUUGGGAAUGGCGCUUGAAACUACGGUGCUGGAGUGUGGCAGAGGGAGGUGGAAUUCCACGUGUAGCGGUGAAAUGCGUAGAGAUGUGGAGGAACACCGAUGGCGAAGGCAGCCUCCUGGGCCAACACUGACGCCCAUGCACGAAAGCGUGGGGAGCAAACAGG